UAGAGUUUGAUUAUGGCUCAGGACGAUCGCUGGCGGCGUGCUUACACAUGCAAGUCGAACGGACUCAUAUUGAAACCUAGUGAUUUAUGAGUUAGUGGCGGACGGGUGAGUAACGCGUGGAAAACCUGCCGUAUACUGGGGGAUAACACUUAGAAAUAGGUGCUAAUACCGCAUAAGCGCACAGCUUCGCAUGAAGUGGUGUGAAAAACUCUGGUGGUAUACGAUGGUUCCGCGUCUGAUUAGCUUGUUGGCGGGGUAAUGGCUCACCAAGGCGACGAUCAGUAGCCGGCCUGAGAGGGUGAACGGCCACAUUGGGACUGAGACACGGCCCAAACUCCUACGGGAGGCAGCAGUGGGGAAUAUUGCACAAUGGGGGAAACCCUGAUGCAGCGACGCCGCGUGAGUGAAGAAGUAUUUCGGUAUGUAAAGCUCUAUCACCAGGGAAGAAAUAGCGACCUUUGGGUCGCCAGACGGUACCUGAUUAAGAAGCCCCGGCUAACUACGUGCCAGCAGCCGCGGUAAUACGUAUGGGGCAAGCGUUAUCUCCGAUUUAUUGGGUGUAAAGGGACCGUAAAUGGCCCAAAAUCUAGACUUGCAAUGCCCGGGCUAAACCCCCUACACAGCCCUGCACCCCGGGCAGCUACAUCG
rnacentral:rRNA from 1 species